CUUGAAGCUUUCUGCUUAAAGCACACUGCUUUCACUGAGGGCAUUGUCUCUCCUGUUUUUUGUGCCUGAGAAGAAAUAGGGGUAAGAAAUUGUGUUCCUCACCUAAAACAAAUCAGGCAUUGAUGAGAAGACAGUCUGCAUGGCAGCAGCAAAGUCAUAUUGAGGUUGUUCCAAAGAGGAAGUAUCUACAUAUUUAAAAGUUUCCACAGUUGUUUUGACCUGUAUAUACAGAUGGACUGGCAGGAGAGAAGAGUAACUUGUGCAUGUCUCUGCAGCAAAGAUGACCGUUGGUCUUUUAUUACCAGGGAUUUUGGUGUAUUCUGUGAGUGAGUGAGUGAGU